GUAUGAAUGGCUAAAUGAGGGCCCAACUGUCUCCUGUGACUAAUCAAUGAACCUGAUCUUCUAGUACAAAAGCUAGGAUAAACCCAUAAGACGAGAAGACCCUGUGGAGCUUAAAAUAGUUAUACUAACAACCAACUACGCCAACAGGCCCACCAAACAAAAUAGUAUGCAUUUUUAGUUGGGGCGACUGCGGAAUUAAACGCAACUUCCACGACACAGGCCAAAUACCUAACUAAGGUCAACAAACCAACACACAUUUGACCCAGUAAUACUGAUCAACGAACCAAGUUACCCCAGGGAUAACAGCGCCAUCCUCUUCAAGAGCCCAUAUCGCCAAGAGGGUUUACGACCUCGAUGUUGGAUCAGGACCCCCAGGCGGUGCAACCGUGCCAAUGGUUCGUUUG
rnacentral:rRNA from 1 species